UCCGUACGUGAACCUGCGGAAGGAUCAUUCGCACAAAGAUAUGUUCUAUUCCACCCGCCACGCACCAUACAGUGCUUUCUGUUUUAUCAUCAGGAAAUUUAAUUUCCAACUCGUCGAUGUUGCGAUCUCAAUGCAAUGUAUGCGAUGUUAUCUAUCUCUUGCGACGACGAAUGCCUUGGCUCGAGGAUCGUUGAAGGACGCAGCGAACUGUGCUAAACAUCUCGAAUUGCAGAUUUCCGAGAAAGAAAAGGAUUCUGAACGCAUUCUGCGAGUUGAACUUGUUUCAGCUCACGUGAUUGACGGUGACCGAAAUAUGCAGUCGCUCGAACUCCGAAGUUCAAGUGGUGUUCACAUGUUGUCGCAAGUUUUUGCGCCGACGUGUUCGUGGAAUUCAGCGCGUCUCUCGUUUUCGAGUUGCAUUAUGAAUUUAUUUCAUUGUGUUCGAUUUCAUUGAUGUGUCUCAGUUUUUCAUUUUUUGAAAACAUUUUUUCCGCACGCUCACGAUCAGUCACGGGAUUACCCGCUGAAUUUAAGCAUAUCAAUA
rnacentral:rRNA from 1 species